rnacentral:rRNA from 1 species
AGGAUGAACGCUGGCGGUCUGCUUAACACAUGCAAGUCGAACGGAGUAGCAAUACUUAGUGGCGGACGGGUGAGUAACGCGUGAGAAUCUACCUUCAGGACGGAGACAACAGUUGGAAACGACUGCUAACCCCCGAUGUACCGAAAGGGCAAAUAUUUAUAGCCUGAAGAAGAGCUCGCGUCCGAUUAGCUAGUUGGAGAGGUAAAAGCUCACCAAGGCGACGAUCGGUAGCUGGUCUGAGAGGACGAUCAGCCACACUGGGACUGAGACACGGCCCAGACUCCUACGGGAGGCAGCAGUGGGAAUUUUCCGCAAUGGGCGAAAGCCUGACGGAGCAAGACCGCGUGGGGGAAGAAGGCUCUUGGGUUGUAAACCCCCUUUUCUCUGGGAAGAACGCAAUGACGGUACCAGAGGAAUCAGCAUCGGCUAACUCCGUGCCAGCAGCCGC